rnacentral:rRNA from 1 species
AUUGAACGCUGGCGGCAGGCCUAACACAUGCAAGUCGAACGAGUGGCGGAAGGGUGAGUAAUGUCUGGGAAACUGCCUGAUGGAGGGGGAUAACUACUGGAAACGGUAGCUAAUACCGCAUACCAUCAGAUGUGCCCAGAUGGGUUUAGCUUGUUGGUGGGGUAACGGCUCACCAAGGCGACGAUCCCUAGCGGGUCUGAGAGGAUGACCAGCCACACUGGAACUGGAACAGGGUACAGAGUCCUAGGGAGGGAAGCAGGGGGGAAUAUGGCACAAUGGGCGCAAGCCUGAUGCAGCCAUGCGGGGUGUAUGAAGAAGGCCUGGGGGUUGUAAAGAACUUUCAGCGGGGAGGCGUUACCCGCAGAAGAAGCACGGGCUAACUCCGUGCCAGCAGCCGCGGAAUUC